CCGGCUCCGGUUCACCCUGCUCAGGGACCCGGCGGCC
rfam:Pseudonocardia thermophila strain DSM 43832 genome assembly, contig: Ga0131094_103